rnacentral:piRNA from 1 species
UCCACUGCUUAUUGAUGGACCUUUGAGAU